rnacentral:rRNA from 1 species
UACGUAGGGGGCAAGCGUUGUCCGGAUUUAUUGGGCGUAAAGAGCGUGUAGGCGGCCAUACAGGUCCGUUGUGAAAACUCGAGGCUCAACCUCGAGACGUCGAUGGAAACCGUAUGGCUAGAGUCCGGAAGAGGAGAGUGGAAUUCCUGGUGUAGCGGUGAAAUGCGCAGAUAUCAGGAAGAACACCCGUGGCGAAGGCGGCUCUCUGGGACGUUACUGACGCUGAGACGCGAAAGCGUGGGGAGCAAACAGG